UGAUCAGAUCACUGAAACCAUGCUGACAGCACUUGUUCUUGGAUGYCUCAUGAGUCUCAUUGUGGCUCAACCUGUGGAGCACCAGCUAUUUGCCCGCUCUGACUCCAGUUCAGAUUCUAACUCUAAUGAGGGUCUGCUUUCAAGAAGACAACAGAUCCAGCUCUAUCACAUCCUCCUCAAGGUUCUAUUUCCUCAAACCACAACAUCAGCUUCGACAACAACCACAACUACAGCUACAACA